CCAGUGUCUUUUUCUCCAGCUAGAAAUUGAGCUGUGCCUUGUAGCAAUGAAAGAGUUUUACAUGUUCCCACCUUGUAACCAAUUUUAAAAAUUAUCAUUUUUAUGGGAUCUUGUUGUAAAUUCACAGAUUUUGUGCACACACCGGAACUCUAUACUUUUCUUCACAAGCACUGCAGAUCUACUUAGACAAAUGGGCAUAGGGAAUCUGUUAUUCUGAAAGAUGCUUCUCCAUUGGCAGAUGCACAUUGUUAUACAUUGUUAUAGCAAUAUAUUGUAUGUUAGUAUCACAGGUAUAACUGUCCACACUUUAAUGUUGCAUAUUUUAAAAACUCUGAAUUCAUAGGCACUCUUUCUAGGUUUGAGAAUCAAGGAAAGCAAUAACUUUUGUCAUAUAAUGGCAUUUAGAGGCCAUGCUUCAUACAUUGGGUGCUUCCCAGCACCUGAACUGUGUUUUCACAUUUCCUUCUAUACACUUGAUUUUCUGGCAUUAGUUGGGAAGAGGGGAACAGACUCUUCCAUUUCAGAGCACAUUUUAGGAUUAUAUCUGAACUUAGGUUUUAUUCUCAAGUGAGUAUAGCUUCUCAAGAUGUUGUUGUUUGCCAUUUUUGCAACUGUAUGUUAGUGCUUUGGAUUGGAUUCAAGCAGUGAUCAACCUCUGGUUAACAUUCCCCUCUUUCUCUCUCUCACACAACCUGACAUGGAAAUGAAUUGCAGGACUGGGAACAGAAUGAAACCAUUCCAGUAAUAGUAGACCUACUGUAACUUUUUUGUGUUGUUCAGUUCUCUGCUGAUGUGGGUAGCAGAGAUAAUUUUUCAGAACAAAUGAGCUGGGAGAAAGAGUUUGGUUUCCCAUCCCGCUUUAUGGUUGAGAUCCAGGUGGGCCACUAUGUACUUGCAAAUAAUUGCAAAAAAGGGUGGCAGAAUCACAAGUUCGGUUAAUCUUCUCCCGCUUACCCAGCCAUACAAAGGCAACGGACUCAACAGAUAGGGCAGAAUUUUAUGUAGCUUAUGAAUAGGUUGAUAUUAAGUUCAGCUUUAUUUGGCCAAGAUAUGCCAGCUUCUCCUCCUCCCCUUUUGUAGGAGGGAAAUGCAUAAAGCCUUUCAUGUGGCUAAAUAUUCAUGGUAUAUAACCUGCACAUAUUACUCAUAAAUAAUGAGAUAUGCAAGUAACUUAGCUUCUGACUAUAGAGGCAGACAGUAAAUUAUCCCCAACCUUCCCAAGCGGUGGAGAUGUUGCCAAAGUGUAGGGAAAAUAUCUUUGUGGUUCUUUGAGAACCUAUUUUAAGUUACAGCCCUUGAGCAGACAAGUCUUUGCUUCUAGGCAUUCUGUGUAACCAAGAAACAGAAAUAUAAGAAAUCUUAGAUUGAUGAAUCUUUGUAUAAAAGUGUUACUUCCCUUUUAUAUCUGGAAAAGUAAAGCAGAGAAAUAUGUCUGUUGAUUGUGAAUGCUUGCCCAGUGACCACCCGACCAGUUGUAAACAGUUACAAGUUCUAUUGAAGUUACUCUAGAACUUGCUGUAACAAUUUUAAUUUUAAUGUUAAAGAUAGGCAAGCUUUCUCAGUACCCAGCAUACUGUGACACUUCCUUCUGGAAAGAUGUCCUGAAAUCCUUUGUGGGCCAUAGUAAAUAAGACAAGAUAAGAAAAUUUCUGGGGUAUGCUGCUGAAGAUUUCUUCAGAUGUAGGGCACUUCUUGUGAUUAGCAAUUCCUUAUUUAUUCAAAAUUAUACAUGGCUGUAAGAAAGCUAUUGUGUUUCUCUUAUUCUUUUUAACAUCAUAAAAUAACUUGUUACUGUUUUAUAGCAACGUAUUAAGCUAUUAUUAUUAGCACCAUUAGGUUCUAGACAAAAUGUGGAUAGAACCCAGGUGACUCACUUGGGCUUCCACAGAAGUUGAUAGUGGGUUUGAGUACAUUACACAGAUACAGUGGAAGACUAAAGGAUCUUGGCAGCUAGCAUUUGCAUUUCCAAGUGGCUAGAUUGAUUUAAAUUUUACAUGCCCUACUUAGCUUCUGGAACUUGAAAUGAAAAGUCAUUUGAUUCUGUUCAUAUUCCUGAUGCCUGCCUGUAAACAGAGAUCUUUAAAAUGUGUUAUAAAGGUUUGGAUUUUUUCCCAUUUUCACUUUAGAUUGUGUGGAUUUUGGCUCCUCCUCUUCUAGCACUAAGCCACAUGAUAAGUAGACAUGAAUGGUUCCCUGGUCUGUAUUUGCUUGUUUAAUUGUCACUCCUCCCUGAAAUCCUCUUUUUCUUUGGAGUGUGUUAGGGUUAUAUGACUGGCACAGAAUGUGUUGUUUUGUCUUUGGUUUUAAAAGAUUUUAAAAGAUCUUAGCUUGACUUGGUUUUGGGAGUCCCUUCCUGUGAAUUACUCCUUUUGUAAAGUUUUGCUUUUUUUGCUACCCCAGUCCAAGUUUUAAGCCCCCCUUCAAAAAUACACAACACACAGAAUUAGAAGGGGACAUCAUAGUAGGCACCUUUCCACUUUCUCCCACUGCAUUCUAACAAAGUAAUAAUGUGCCUUGUACUUUUAUUUGUUUUAAUGUUUCUUCCCCCCUCUUCAAUUGAAAGGAUUCUGGUGCAGCCUAUAGGCCAGUUAAAAAAAAAAUAAAGAAGAAGAAGGUGGUCCUUGUUUUUAGCUAUGUCAAAAAAAAGGUAAAAAGAUGGAAGGGGAGGGAAAAAAACACUUAUAUUAUUAUUAAUUGCCAAUUUAUUCUAACCAGAUUCCAAAUAAAUAUAAUUUAAAAGGAGAAAACCAUGGAACUGAGGUGUGAAUAAAGAGGUCUUUUUUCUAGCUAAAUAAUGGGAUCAUUUCAAUGCAGCAUCAUAUAAUAUGGCAGUAUACUGGAAUAAAUUGUGGAAACAUGUAAAUAUAAGUGCAACCCUUUUGAAUCUUACUCCUACAAAUGAGACUGUAUCUCACACCUUGUUGGGAUAUCAUUUUUGCUCCUGGAAACAGUGUUUCUAUUUUGUCUCACUGAAAUAGGACAACCGUACAAGAAAAGGAAAGUGUCUAUUGCAGAGCGAUUGGAAUCCUUAAUAUGCAAAGUGGGAGAAAAGAGUUCUUUCUCUUUGGAAAGUAGAAUAGAAGGUUUGGCUGGAGUUUUGGAGGCAGAUCUACCAAACUACAAAAGCAAAAUACUGAGACUCCUUUGUACAGUUGCACGUCUGUUACCACAGAAGAUGACCAUUUACACAACUCUUGUUGGCUUGCUGAAUGCCAGGAACUACAAUUUUGGUGGAGAGUUUGUAGAAGCAAUGAUACGUCAGCUG